rnacentral:rRNA from 1 species
AAUGAACGUUGGCGGCGCGGAUUAGGCAUGCAAGUCGCGCGAGAAGUCAUUUAGCUUGCUAAAAGACGGACAGCGGCGGAAGGGAGAGUAACGCGUGGUUAUGUACCCUCGAGACCGGGAUAGUGUCGGGAAACUGGCAGUAAUACCGGAUAACAUCUUCGGAUCAAAUGGUGUGAUUCCGCUCGAGGAUCGGACCGCGUACUAUUAGCUAGUUGGAGGGGUAAUGGCCCACCAAGGCUUAGAUGGUUACCGGGUGUGAGAGCAUGGCCCGGCUCACUGGGACUGAGACACUGCCCAGACAUCUACGGAUGGCUGCAGUCGAGAAUCUUCGGCAAUGGACGAAAGUCUGACCGAGCGACGCCGCGUGCGGGAUGAAGGCCUUCGGGUUGUAAACCGCUGUCAGUUAGGAGGAAAUCCAUGAGGGUUCUCUCUCAUGGUUGACCGAUUUUCAGAGGAAGGACGGGCUAAGUUCGUGCCAGCCGCCGCAGUAAAAC